UGCUUCCUGCGGACACAGGCGCUUCGAGGCGGCCAGGGCGGCGGCUCAGCGCUGGGGUUCGUCCCCUCCCCGCCCGGCCCGCGGGCUUCGCCGCCUGUGUCUUCCCUGGGCCCCAGCCGUCCCGUGCGCGGUCUGGCCGCUGGAAGCCCGGAGGCUUUCGGAAGUUUUGAUUUGGAACCAGGAAAGGGUUUGAACUCUUUCAGAGUUGUGGGGAGAGGCCACGGUUUCCGGACGUGAAGAACGUCGAAGAAAUUGUUGUUGGCGGUUAUUAGGUUGUGGUUUUCACAUGCGGCCAGCCCAGGAGCUGAGAUUUUAAGAGAUUAUCCCGCCUCCCUUACCCCGCCAGAAACUUAGAAGUUGGUAUCCAAAGUGCCCUCUCCUGCUGUCCUUAAGGAUUAAAAACCCAGCCUUAUACUGGCACUUGGCCCUACCUCUGGGUGAGGGGAGAUGGGAAAGCGCUUGGGGCAGGUGAAACUCCAGAUGGGGGUAGGGGGCGCUAGGGAGGGUAAUAUUCUCAUUAGAACGUCUUUCUCAUGGCUCCUGGGGUUCCCUGAGUCGCUAAUUUAGGAGCUAAAAAGAAUUCCAGAGAUUCUGUAAUAUCCCAUGAAAUGGUCCUCAGCCUCUCUUUGAAACAUGUCUAGUGACCUCAAUUGUAGGUUUUCUGACAGGAUGCUGAUUUGGGUGGCUCCCUCUGCCCUGGAUACCCACCAGUUGUGAGAGGGCAUCAUAUCCCUUUGCAGCCCUGUGGAGAAUGCUUGGGUGGGAGUGUGCACCUGCCUCUCUGCUUGGCCCGCUGUGCAUAACAGAAGCUGGGAAGGGGCCUGUGUGGCUAAAUCGAGGUUGGCUGGUUGGUUACUGAAAGGAGAGAAUUUACUUGUAAUUUCCUGGGUUUCCUUGGCUGUUUGUUUGGAGUGGAGAUCAUUUGGUCCCCGGGGAAUCUGGGAGGAAAAGGGAAGUCCUUGGAAAGGAGUUGGGUGCCCUCCCUGGGUAAGAAUGAGUUGGCUAACCUGCCCUCUGCACUAGGAAGCCUUAUUCCCUGAUCUGCAUCCCUUUUCUGGGUUUAACUUCACAGAACACCCAGCAGUGGCGGGGAAUUGUAAUACAAAAAAAGAGCUAUGUGGUCCCACCUGUUCUUUUUACAGAUGAGGAUGCUGACACCUAGUAAAAGAGCGUUCAGGGUCACAGAACCAGCUGGUGGCAGAGGUGGGACUCAGGUCUCCUGAUUCCCAGGCCUAUUCUCUCUCUCCUACCCCAUAUAUAAUAGGGGCCAGCACGAAACAGAUGGCACAUUAUGAAUGGGUAAUUUGAGGCAGGGUAUAGGGAGAGAACCGUGGAUAGUGAAAUGUUCUGGGGCUUGUAACAGAGGGAUCUUACCAUCUCUACGCCUCGAGGCAGAGAGGCUGUGUGGAGGGUCAUUUUGCUAGAGCUAGGUCUUUAGGUCAAGGGGUUCAGGAAAGCAGUUGGGAGGAAAUAAAACCCCUCUGAUUUGUCAAGGCUCUCCAUGUACUAAACCCCAUGGGAAGUCAGAGGGCAAAGGAGACUUGAUUAGUCCAUGCAGGAAAAUUCCAGAACACAGUACGGAUAGGAAAGGAUGCAGAAAGUACCUAGAGGAGCAAUGAAAGGUGUCCAAUAUAACAUGUGACCUUACUUCUGCUCGUUUAUUAAUAGUUUACACUUCUUGAGCACUUACUCUGCAUUGUGUGUGUCCAUUAUCUCAUUGCAUUUUCCCAUAAACCCAGUUUUCUCCAUUUGACAGAUAAGGGAACUGACAAGUGAAACAACUUGAGGAAUGGAGAUGUGAACAGCCAACGGGACACCUGCCUCUCCGGGAUCUUAUCUUGGGUGUAGUAGUUCCUUCGUGGAUGUUUGUGCAGUGGAUGACGGAGUGAAUGAAUGCGCGAAUGAACAAGGAGCAAACACACGUAGGAUUAGGUGGCAAAUCUCCCUGAAGACCCUUAGUGUGCCUGUCCUCCAUGAGACUGGAGGCUCUCUGCAGAGAGAAACUCUCAAGGCACCAGCUGUGAAGGCCAGCUGGGGAGAGCCUAGCCUGUCUGUGCUGAGUUCCCAUUUAGGCCCAAAGACUAGAUCCAACGUGGAAGAACACGGUUUUUUGGCUUCCAAACCAGGUAACUCUGGGCAUCAGACCACAAUCUUCUUAUCAGACCACAACAUUAGUAUUUGCCACCUUGGACAUCACAGGUACAGAGUCAAAGAGGACCAGCACCGCAAAUCUGUUGAAACGGCCUGGACUGUUGUUACCGAGUUGGUAUUGCAAACUUGGUGGGUGCAAACGGUAACACAGAGGAGUGGAUGUUUCCUGACAACCUAGUUUGAUUACAUGGUGAAAGGACAGAAGAGAAGACCAAGUCCAAUGGUCUGAAAUGCGUGCCGCACUGGCUGCUGACAUAAGCAAGCACACUGCCUGCUGGUUCAAGGGGCUGCCCUGGGAGCUAAUUACAGACACGAGGCCGUGUGGCCGGCAGACCGCUGCUGGAUGUGAUUAGAGUGUUUUGGAGUGUUGCCAUCUGCUCACUUUCAUGGACACAGGGGAAGCAGCCAGGGUAAUGUCCCCCUUUAGGCCUGUCUGCCCCAUCCUCCAACCUUCCAGCUGCUCCGGCUGAUGGCCUUGGAGGCGUCUUGACUCUUGUUUCACAUUCUUCAUCAGAUCCACGAGCAGACCGGCUGGCCCUGCUUUGAGCAUGUAUGUGUCAUCUCACCAAUGUUACUUGCCUCUGCUGGAGCUGUGCUGGACCAGGCUCCCGUCAUUUCACAACUGGGGCUACAGAAGCAGCCUCCUGGCUGGUUUUCUUGCUUCUGCUCUGCGUUUUUUGUUUUUCAAAUUUUUUAAUAUUUAUUUAUUUCUGAGAGAGAUAUUGAGAGAGAGAGAGAGAGAGAGAGAGCACAAGCGGAAGAGGGGCAGAGAGAGAGGGAGACACAGCAUCUGAAGCAGGCUCCAGGCUCCGAGCUGUCAAGCCCCCGACGUGGGGCUUGAGCCCACGAACCAUGAGAUCAUGACCUGAGCUGAAGUUGGACCUUCAGCCUACUGAGCCACCCAGGCGCCCCUGCUCUGUCUUCGUAUGCUUGGCGUUCAACACAGUGGGUAGGGGGAUCCUUUUUACAGAUUUAAGACAUCACGGAACCGCACUCAAUUCUUCUCUGAAUUCUCCAGAUCCUCGUCCUGCUCAGAGGAAAACCUCAAGUCUGUCCAGGGGCUUGUCACCCCCAUGGUUCUUUGAAUUGAUCUGCCACUCUCCCUGGCUUUCUGGACUUAGGCCACACUGGCCUCCCUCCUGUUGCUGGAGCACAUCAGGCAGGCUUCGGUCUCCACACCAUUCCUGCUGCCCUGAUGGCUCCCUCUGCCUGUGACGUGGUUCCCCAGAAAACCACAUGGUCCCCUCUCUCACCUCCUUCAAAUCUCUGUGCAAAUGUUUCCUUCUCAGUGAGACCUGAUCACCCUAUUUAAAACUGCAGCUAGGCCUGAAGCCAAGACUACAUUGUGUAUUAACUGACUUGAAUAUAAAUAAAAAGAAAAAAAAACAGAGAAGGCGGCAAAUCAUAAGAAACUCUUAAAUAGAGACAACAAGCUGAGGGUUGAUGGAGGGGAGGUGGGUGGGGGGAGUGGGCUACAUGGGUGAUGGGCAUUAAGGAGGACACUUGUUGGGAUGAGCGCUGGGUGUUAUAUGGAAGUGAUGAAUCACUAAAUUCUCCUAAAACCAACACUACACUAUAUGCUAACUAUCUUGAAUUUAAAUAAUAAAAAAAGAUGGGAAAAAAUAAAUAAAAGAUAAAAUGCAUGGAAAAGAAAUAAAAGCUACAGCUAUGUAUUUAGAACUAUGUGUUAGUUUUGCUAUAGGUUUUUUUUUUUGUAGAUUUAAUAAAAUCUUGGUUUGUGAGCAUAAUUCGUUCCAGAAACAAGCUUGUAAUCCAAAACACUCACAUAUCAAAGUGAAUUUCAAGAACCAUCGGCUCAAUUGUGAUCAUGUGACAUUCGGUGUCACACAUUACUCAUAUUGCAAGACAUCACUCAUUUAUUAAGUUAAAAUUUAUUAGAAAUGUAGGAAAUAAUCAGCAUUUAUUAGAAAUGUAGGAAAUAAUAAACUAAAAGGCAACCGACAGAAUGGGAGAAGAUAUUUGCAAACGACAUGUCAGAUAAAGGGUCAGUAUCCAAAAUCUAUAAAGAACUUAUCAAACUCAACACCCAAAAAACAAAUAAUCCAGUGAAGAAAUGGGCAAAAGACAUGAAUAGACAAUUCUCCAAAGAAGACAUCCAGAUGGCCAACUGACACAUGAAAAAAUGCUCAACAUCACUAAUCAGGGAAAUAUAAAUCAAAACCAUAAUGAGAUACCACCUCACACCUGUCAGAAUGGCUCACAUUCACAACUCAGGCAACAACAGAUGUUGGCGAGGAUGCAGGGACAGAGGACGUCUUUUGCACUGCUGGUGGGAAUGCAAACUGGUGAAGCCACCCUGGAAAACAGUAUGGAGGUUCCUAAAAAAAUUAAAAAUAGAACAACCCUAUGACCCAGCAAUUGCACUACUAGGUAUUUAUCCAAGAGAUACAGGUGUGCUGUUUCGAAGGGACACACACAUCCCAAUGUUUACAGCAGCACUAUCAGCAAUAGCCAAAGUAUGGAAAGAGCCCAAAUGUCCAUCGAUGGAUGAAUGGGUAAAGAAGAUGUGGGAUAUAUAUAUACAAUGGAGUAUUACUCAGCAAUGAAAAAUAAUGAAAUCUUGCCAUUUGCAACUAUGUGGAUGGAACUAGAGGGUAUUAUGCUAAGUGAAAUUAGUCAGAGAAAGACAAAUAUAGUAUGACUUCACUUGUAUGAGGACUUUAAGACACAGAACAGAUGAACACAAGGGAAGGGAAGCAAAAAUAAUAUAAAAACAGGGAGGGUGACAAAACAUAAGAGACUCUUAAAUAUGGAGAACAAACAGAGGUUCCUGGAGGGGUUGUAGUAGGGGGGAUGGGCUCAAUGGGCAAGGGUCAUUAAGGAAUCGACUCCUGAAAUCAUUGUUGCACUAUAUGCUA